rnacentral:lncRNA from 1 species
AAGAUUGUGUCAAGGAAGUCAAAACUGAAACGCAAGAGAACAAACUUCCAAACCAAUAAUUAAACCUAACCCCCGCACAAUUCUUUGGUUCAUUUCAACAAACACAUACUAUGCUCUCAAUCCCAUCAUUCAUGAGCAUCGCCUCCCUGUACGAAAUCUACCUCCGCCGCUGCUUCACGGCGGCAGGCCUCUUGUCUCAGUCAAUCGCGGUGGACGACGAAACCACGAUCCACUUCUGGGGCCCCACUACCAAAUCCCCAAACAAGGCAUGCCUUGUUCUCAUACACGGGUUCGGCCCCAUGGCCAUAUGGCAAUGGCGGAAACAAGUGCAGUUCUUCGCGCCUCACUUCAACGUGUACGUGCCGGACCUGGUGUUCUUCGGAGGGUCCACGACGAGGAGCAGUGAGAGGAGCGAGAAGUUUCAGGCGGCGGCGGUGGUGAAGCUGGUGGAGAAAGUGGUGGUGGCGGAUGAGGAGAGUAAGAAGAAGAAGGUGCACGUGAUAGGCACGAGCUACGGGGGAUUUGUGGCGUACCAAGUGGCAAGGAUGAUGGGGGUGGAGAGAGUGGGCAAAGUGGUAAUUGCAAGCUCGGGAGUGAAUAUGAGGAAGAGGGAUAACUUGGCGCUUUUGGAGAGGGCGGGACUUGAGAGAAUUGAGGACCUCAUGAUGCCAGCUAAGCCUCAACAUUUCCGAAAAUUGAUGGCUUUGUCUCUCUCUAGGCGUCUCCAUUAUCUACCUGAUUUCUUCCUCGCUGACUUCAUCAAUGUAAGUUCACCCUUUACCCUUUUUCUUUUCAUCAAAGCUUAUUUGCACGGCUACACCUAAAGCUAAGGAAUUUGUGAAUUGAUCGUUUACAUUAGUAGCCAUUCAUCAAACUCUUUUGAUAGUUACAUAAUGAUUGAAAAUUAUUAGAAUACUUUUACAAUAAAUUUUACAAGAUAUGUUCUUGUUAGCCGGCGAGAUGAGUAUUUAAGUAUUGAGGAAUGUUAGGAUGAGUAACUUUUGUGUUUUGUAACCAUUAAUUGAUUAUUAAUAAUAUUUUUAACAGUAUAAGAUUACAUUUAAUAGUAAAAAAUCACUUACUUUUUUUUUUGAUGGUUAAGUAUUAGUCAUAAAAUACAAAAGUUGCUGACGUUUAAACUUUCUCUUUAAGUAUUCCUUUUGAAUAUUUAUACAUUAUUUAUAGUAUCCUAAUUUUUAUCUCAUAUUCAAAUCUAAGGGUAUAUAUAUCUCUGUCCCAUAUCCAUCUCACCUGGUUCAUCUAAUUGAUUUCUAAGUUUUUUCUUUAAAAAAUUAAAGCUUAUAAUAUGAAGAUAAACAAAUUGAACAUAACUAAUCAAUAAAAUUAAUUAAAUAAAUAAGUCACAUAUAGCAUAAUUAAAUACAAAGAUAAUUUUAAAUGGUUCACAACAAUAUAUAACACAUAAAAAUACAAAGCAACUACUUUAAUGAAUGAAAAUGCUAAAAAUAUUUUUUUAUGAUAAUUUUUGUUUAAAAAAUAUAACUUAUUUGCCAUAUUUUAUUCAUCGUCGUGGAAUCAAUAAAUGUUACAUCAUCCAUCUACCUUUUUAUUUGACAAAAACUUUCCAUGUGAAGAAGAAAAAGAGAAUGACAUAGGAAAAUUCGUACAUAGCGUGUAUACCUGGCCUUUUCGAUUCCAUUCUCUAAUUACAAGUUUACAACACUGUCACAUGUAUGUAUGUGUGCGUAAUUCUGUUUAAGAGACCACUAAUUCAAUUCGAAUUUUAGAUAGAAUAUUGAGAGAGAGAAAUUUGUUUCUAAUCACAGGAAAUUAAUUAAAGCAGCAUGAUUAUUCAUUCUCUUUGCAAUGGAAAGUUUAUUUUAAUUUUUAACCAAACAGAACCUUUAUGAACUUCUCCUAACAGCAUUUAUUAUUAUAAGUCACACCUCACCGAAGAAGAAAAAAGAUUGUGUCAAGGAAGUCAAAACUGAAACGCAAGAGAACAAACUUCCAAACCAAUAAUUAAACCUAACCCCCGCACAAUUCUUUGGUUCAUUUCAACAAACACAUACUAUGCUCUCAAUCCCAUCAUUCAUGAGCAUCGCCUCCCUGUACGAAAUCUACCUCCGCCGCUGCUUCACGGCGGCAGGCCUCUUGUCUCAGUCAAUCGCGGUGGACGACGAAACCACGAUCCACUUCUGGGGCCCCACUACCAAAUCCCCAAACAAGGCAUGCCUUGUUCUCAUACACGGGUUCGGCCCCAUGGCCAUAU